AGAACGCUGAAGAGAGGAGCUUGCUCUUCUUGGAUGAGUUGCGAACGGGUGAGUAACGCGUAGGUAACCUGCCUUGUAGCGGGGGAUAACUAUUGGAAACGAUAGCUAAUACCGCAUAACAAUGGGUGACACAUGUCAUUUAUUUGAAAGGGGCAAUUGCUCCACUACAAGAUGGACCUGCGUUGUAUUAGCUAGUAGGUGAGGUAACGGCUCACCUAGGCGACGAUACAUAGCCGACCUGAGAGGGUGAUCGGCCACACUGGGACUGAGACACGGCCCAGACUCCUACGGGAGGCAGCAGUAGGGAAUCUUCGGCAAUGGGGGCAACCCUGACCGAGCAACGCCGCGUGAGUGAAGAAGGUUUUCGGAUCGUAAAGCUCUGUUGUAAGUCAAGAACGAGUGUGAGAGUGGAAAGUUCACACUGUGACGGUAGCUUACCAGAAAGGGACGGCUAACUACGUGCCAGCAGCCGCGGUAAUACGUAGGUCCCGAGCGUUGUCCGGAUUUAUUGGGCGUAAAGCGAGCGCAGGCGGUUUGAUAAGUCUGAAGUUAAAGGCUGUGACUCAACCAUAGUUCGCUUUGGAAACUGUCAAACUUGAGUGCAGAAGGGGAGAGUGGAAUUCCAUGUGUAGCCGUGAAAUGCGUAGAUAUAUGGAGGAACACCGGUGGCGAAAGCGGCUCUCUGGUCUGUAACUGACGCUGAGGCUCGAAAGCGUGGGGAGCGAACAGGAUUAGAUACCCUGGUAGUCCACGCCGUAAACGAUGAGUGCUAGGUGUUGGAUCCUUUCCGGGAUUCAGUGCCGCAGCUAACGCAUUAAGCACUCCGCCUGGGG
rnacentral:rRNA from 1 species